GAUGAACGCUGGCGGCGUGCCUAAUACAUGCAAGUCGAGCGAACGGACGAGAAGCUUGCUUCUCUGAUGUUAGCGGCGGACGGGUGAGUAACACGUGGAUAACCUACCUAUAAGACUGGGAUAACUUCGGGAAACCGUAGCUAAUACCGGAUAAUAUUUUGAACCGCAUGGUUCAAAAGUGAAAGACGGUCUUGCUGUCACUUAUAGAUGGAUCCGCGCUGCAUUAGCUAGUUGGUAAGGUAACGGCUUACCAAGGCAACGAUGCAUAGCCGACCUGAGAGGGUGAUAGGCCACCCGGGAACUGGAACACGGUCCAGACUCCUACGGGAGGGAGCAGUAGGGAAUCUUCCGCAAUGGGCGAAAGCCUGACGGAGCAACGCCGAGUGAGUGAUGGAGGUCUUCCGAUCGUAAAACUCUGUUAUUAGGGAAGAACAUAUAUGUAAGUAACUGUGCACAUCUUGACGGUACCGAAUCAGAAAGCCACGGCUAACUACGUG
rnacentral:rRNA from 1 species